CAACAAAAUAAAACUAAACAACAGGUAAAAGGUAAAUAAAACUAAACAACAGGUAAAAGUAAAUAAAACUAAACAACAGCUAAAAGGUAAAUAAAACUAAACAACAGCUAAAAGGUAAAUAAAACUAAACAACAACUAAAAGGUAAAUAAAACUAAACAACAGCUAAAAGGUAAAUAAAACUAAACAACAACUAAAAGGUAAAUAAAACUAAACAACAGCUAAAAGGUAAAUAAAACUAAACAACAACUAAAAGGUAAAGAAAACUAAACAACAACUAAAAGGUAAAUAAAACUAAACAACAGCUAAAAGGUAAAUAAAACAACAGCUAAAAGGUAAAUAAAACUAAACAACAGGUAAAAGGUAAAUAAAACUAAACAACAGCUAAAAGGUAAAUAAAACUAAACAACAGCUAAAAGGUAAAUAAAACUAAACAACAACUAAAAGGUAAAUAAAACAACAGCUAAAAGGUAAAUAAAACAACAGCUAAAAGGUAAAUAAAACUAAACAACAGGUAAAAGGUAAAUAAAAC